rnacentral:rRNA from 1 species
UACGUAGGGCGCGAGCGUUGUCCGGAAUUAUUGGGCGUAAAGAGCUCGUAGGCGGCUUGUCGCGUCGGAUGUGAAAGCCCGGGGCUUAACCCCGGGUCUGCAUUCGAUACGGGCAGGCUAGAGUUCGGUAGGGGAGAUCGGAAUUCCUGGUGUAGCGGUGAAAUGCGCAGAUAUCAGGGGGAACACCGGUGGCGAAGGCGGUGAUCUGGGCCAGUACUGACGCUGAGGAGCGAAAGCGUGGGUAGCAAACAGG